AUGGAGCCGACAUAUUGGGGUUGUGCACCUCCUAUGUAUCCGCAGUUUCCUCCAUGGGGGUUUAAUCUUUGGGCGCCAUAUCCUACAGGGCCAGCAGGUUAUUUUCAGCCGGGAUGGAUCCCGCCGAGGCCUAUGUUCAGACCAAACGUACAUGAGAAAAUGGCUCGUUUCAAUGAGGAGGCUAGAUCACAUAAUGCCAUCGAGAUUCGAGGAGUUCGAUCACCGGUACGCAGUGCAGAGCGCAACAACUAUAAGGGAAACUACAAGCGCGUAUGGAUGCCGGUGAAGCGUGCUGAAACUAAAGCAGCAAAAAAUUCAGAUGAUUUGGAUGCUGAUCAUGGUAUGAAAAUAGCGGAACACCAGUCAGAUGAAGGUGUUGUCAAUUGUACAGAAACAAGCAGUGUCUCAAAAGAAGGUCUCGGUACAGAGGAGAAAAGUAAUGGCGUAAAGUUGCGGCAAGCUGGCCAGUCUAAUCAAUUUGAAAAGCAAACUAAUUCUGGGCAUAACCCGCAUGCAUGGCCGGAUGCUAUAUCCUCACGUACUAUUCAGAAGCCUAAAUCGGCUAGCACACAAGCUGAUUUGAUCAUAAAGAAUUGUUGCACAGAAAAGUCCAAGAGUUUGCCUCCGAGGAGUUUCAAGUCUAAUACUAGUACAUCUACACAUUGGGACUCAGGCAAUGUACGCGUACAGGGAUUUAAUUCCAGUACCGUAUAUGAUCAGGAGAGAAGUUUUUGGCCAGAGAUGAAAUGUUUGCCAGAAAAACAGAAGUACGUCAGUAUAGGCCGAAGGACCCGGGGGCAGCCAAAUUAA
rnacentral:rRNA from 1 species